GCGUGCGCGGGGCAUGCUGGGAGUGGUUGUGUACUGUCGCCAACAGCAGGUGAAGCCUAGCAGAGGACGCGUCCAGCCGAUCCGGUGAAGCAAUUCCUGCAGGCGUUGGUUCCCCCCUUUGCCCUGGUAAAGGCAGGCUUUUAUGCGAGAGGAUUUGAAUUUGUUGAAAUGAGCAGUCGUAAAUCAAAGAGUAACAGCUUAAUUCACGCAGAGUGCCUUUCACAGGUACAAAGAAUUUUACGUGAAAGAUUUUGUCAUCAGAGUCCACAUAGUAACCUAUUUGGAGUGCAAGUACAAUACAAACACUUAAGUGAGCUGCUAAAAAGGACCGCUCUCCAUGGAGAGAGUAACUCUGUCCUCAUUAUCGGACCCCGAGGAUCAGGAAAAACUAUGUUAAUAAAUCAUGCUUUGAAAGAACUCAUGGAAAUAGAAGAAGUGAGUGAAAAUGUAUUACAAGUUCACUUAAAUGGACUGCUGCAGAUCAAUGACAAAAUUGCCCUAAAGGAAAUCACGAGGCAGUUAAAUCUGGAAAAUGUAGUUGGAGAUAAAGUUUUUGGAAGCUUUGCUGAAAACCUUUCAUUUCUUCUGGAAGCUUUAAAAAAAGGUGACCGAACUAGCAGUUGCCCAGUGAUCUUCAUAUUAGAUGAAUUUGAUCUUUUUGCUCAUCAUAAAAACCAGACACUUCUCUAUAAUCUUUUUGACAUUUCUCAGUCUGCACAGACCCCAAUAGCAGUUAUUGGCCUUACAUGUAGAUUGGAUAUUUUGGAACUCUUAGAAAAAAGAGUGAAGUCAAGAUUUUCUCACCGGCAGAUACACUUAAUGAAUUCAUUUGGUUUUCCACAGUAUGUUAAAAUAUUUAAAGAACAGUUAUCUCUACCUGCAGAAUUUCCAGACAAGCUUUUUGCUGAGAAGUGGAAUGAAAAUGUUCAGUAUCUCUCAGAAGAUAGAAGUGUGCAAGAAGUACUACAGAAGCAUUUCAAUAUCAGCAAAAACCUGCGGUCAUUACACAUGCUAUUGAUGCUUACUUUAAAUCGAGUAACAGCAUCACACCCAUUUAUGACUGCCAUAGAUCUAAUGGAAGCAAGUCAACUGUGUAGCAUGGACUCAAAAGCAAAUAUUGUACAUGCCUUUAACUUAGUCCUUUUGAAGGUACUAUCACUCCCAUUUAAAGUGAAAAAAAAAUUUGACGCUCUGCCUCUUUUGCCACAUUGGAAAUCCAGGUCUAUCAGUCUUGGAAAUCUGUCUUAUAAUAGCAAUGAAACAUUUAAAUGACAUCUAUGAGGAAGAGCCAUUUAAUUUUCAAAUGGUCUAUAAUGAGUUUCAGAAGUUUGUUCAAAGGAAAGCACAUUCUGUUUAUAAUUUUGAAAAACCUGUUGUCAUGAAGGCUUUUGAACACUUGCAACAAUUAGAAUUAAUAAAGCCCAUGGAAAGAACUUCAGGAAAUUCACAGAGAGAGUACCAGCUGAUGAAACUGCUUUUGGAUAAUACUCAAAUUAUGAAUGCUCUGCAGAAAUAUCCCAACUGUCCUACAGAUGUGAGGCAGUGGGCAACAUCCUCACUGAGCUGGUUAUGAAUAUAACCAGUGACUUCAACUUUGGCAUUUCAUUCAUACUUCUGUAGAGAACGAAAAACUAUUGUCCUUUAACAUGAUAAUACUGAACAUUCUAUAAAUAUUUUUGUAUUUAUGUGAGACUUGCAUGUCUAUUGUCUUGGCUGUGUCUUGCCUUUUAAUCAUGAACAGUUACAUGAUUUGUAAUUUCAGUAAUUGAGAUUACUUUGUAAGUAGCAGUUCAGAAGAAUAAAAUAUGACUGUUUUAGGGACUAGACCAUGUGCUUUUUUAACACUUAUAUAUAUAAUGGUCUAUUUGAAGAGCUCACUUCAACCUAACAGCUAGAUGUCUUUACAAACCUUAAACCAAAGGAGUGAAAAAACAAUCGUAACAACUGAAGUAUAAGUAACCUUUGGUACAGUAGGUUUGCUGCAGGGUUUUUUUCUGUCCACAAGCAAAUUUUGGAUUCUAUCCCAGACUCAGGUUUUCUAGUUCAGGAGACUAACCAGCUUAGUCAGAAGAUGGUUCACAUGGAAGGAAAAGGCCAAGGAGUUUGGAGAUUUUUCUUCUAGAUAUCUCAAAAUGUGGUACUCAUACCACCCACAUCAGAAUCCCUUGUAAGAUUUUCUAAAAUUACAGAUUGUUGAGCUUACCAUAGGUCAAAAGGAUUGGAAUUUGCCUUCUUAACAAGUAUAGUCAUGGCACCACAUAACAUUUUGGUCCGUGACAUUGUAUAUAUGAGGGUGGUCUCGUAAGACUAUACCAUAUUUUUACUGUACCUUUUCUAUGUUUGAAUAUACAAAUGUUUACCAGUGUGUUACAGUUGCCUACAGUAUUACAGUAACAUUCUGUACAGCAUUGUAGCUUAAGAGUAAUAGGCUAGGCUGUAUGUAUAGCCUAGGUGUGUAACAGGCUAUAUACCAUCAGGGUUUGUGUAAGUACACUCUCUGAUGUUCAUCCAAUGAUGAAAUCACCCAGAGACACAUUUCUCAGAACAGCCCCAUCAUGAAGUGACGUGACUGUACCAGAGAUUUCUGGAAAAGCACUCCCAAAAGUAAUGAGACAUGUAUGGCAAUGUUAACUGAACCUGUAUCAAACAGUAAAUCCCUGAGGAAUGUGGAAAUGUCAGUAAAAGCAUUGUCUUUUAAGUAAGUUCCAAGAUCCAUGAAUUAACAGAGGCAUAUAUUUAAAAUGAAAUUUAAUAAGCACUUAAGUGACUUCAUUUGUUCAAGAAUAUUUGCCUACUGUGUGCAUGGGAGGUUAACAAAAGACAGACUGUCCCUAUGCUUGUGCAGCUUACAAUCCAUUUAACUGUUAGAGGCCCUGUGAGAUGUAGGUACUGUUAUUUACAGAUUAGAAAACUAACAAAGCAGUGGCAAUGCUGGGAAUAGCCAGCAGGCUUGGAAUUCAACUCAGUUUAACACCAAAGGCAGUGCUAUUAAAACCUGAAGUUCGACAGUGGAUUCCUUACCAAAUAGUUUUUAAAGUAUGCUCUAAGGCACAAUGUUUUAAUGAAAUCUUGGAUACAAAGUGGAAUAAAAAAU